GGAGGUGAGAACGGCAAAACAGAAAGUAAAGGGAGAGAAAAAAAAUGGUGAGAUAGAGAAGAAGAAAGAGAGAGAGAAAGAAGAAGAGAAGGAGAAAGAAAAAAAAAACAACCAAAAACAUUGACAACCCAAGAAAAGAGAAAGGAAAAAUGCAAUUUUGCUAGAAGUCAAUGUAGAAAGAGUUGAGGGUACCAUCAUUUUCUCCAAUCUUUUGUAAAUCAAGAGAUAAAAAGGCUUACAUCACAUGUUAGAGAAAUGACGCGUAUCAGUUUACACUAUAGUCUGCUUAUAAUUUAUGGAGAAUUAUUUUGAACUAUGGAUGUGUUAUGUACUCCAUAUUUCUAUGUUUUUCUUUGAAGGAUUAAUAUGUGUAUGAAUACAUUUUUAUGACUUU